CCUGCCGCGCCCCAACGGCUGCCGCGCACCGCGCAUGCGUGGGGCUGCCCGCCCCCCCCCGCUGGGGCACCAUGGGAGCGCCCGGGGCAUCAUGGGAGCAUCCAGAGCAUCAUGGGAGCGCCCGGGGCAUCAUGGGAGUGCCUGGAGCAUCAUGGGAGUACCCAGGGCAUCAUGGGAGUGACAUGGGGCCUCAUGGGAGCACCCAGGGCAUCAUGGGAGUGAGGUGGGGCAUCAUGGGAUGCUCCCACUUGGCAUGCCCCACCCUGGGGCUGAUGGGAGCUGCUGCCCCAGAGGCUCAUGGGAGCCGCUGCCCCGCAGGUGAUGCCGCGCGGAUGGAGGCCCCCUGCGGGGACCAGGCUGAGCCGAUGACCCCCGACCCCAGGGCGCCCGGACGCCUGGACCCCCCCGCGGCCACGCCCCCAGGCGGCCCCCGGACCCCCGGCCCCGGGCUCAAGCGCCGCCCCGACGCCUGUGACUGGUCAGUACAGAGCAGGGCAUGCUGGGAGCGCCCUGGGGCAUGCUGGGAGCCAGGUGCCAUGCCCCAGGGCAUGCUGGGAGCAGGGCGCGGUGGCCCAGGGCAUGCUGGGAUGGGGGGGGCAGUGCCCCAGGGCAUGCUGGGAUCAGGGGGCUGCCCUGGAGCAUGC
rnacentral:lncRNA from 1 species